AAAGAAACGAACUACUCUACUUUAAAGCUGAGCUCGGUUGUAGUAGCUGUGCUGAAGCUAUUGAAUGUGUGUUUUAGUUGGGUGCAAUUAUAAGUAAGGGAAGUAGUUUUAACUUCUUUACAUUCCUGCUGUUUCUUGGGAAUUAAACAAAGUAUAACUAUGCUUUUUAAAAGAAGAAAAAAAAUUAAGUGAAAAUUCAUCUGCUUCUUGGAUUUUGAUCGCUUUUAUUAUUUAUUUCUAGUCAAUUUUGAACAUUAACUGUUUUUGUUCAAAUUUGUGGUUUCUAUUCAAAAUUUAUGCGGAAAGCUUUCUGUCCUUCAUGUUUUGAUUGAUGGGCAUGUUUAUUUUGAGCAAAUCAUUA
rnacentral:misc_RNA from 1 species